rnacentral:rRNA from 1 species
AUUGAACGCUGGCGGCAGGCCUAACACAUGCAAGUCGAACGAGUGGCGGACGGGUGAGUAAUGUCUGUGACUCUUCCUGAUGGAGGAGGAUAACUACUGGAAACGGUAGCUAAUACCGCAUACCAUCAGAUGUGCCGAGGUGGGAUUAGCUAGUUGGUGGGGUAACGGCUCACCAAGGCGACGAGCCCUAGCUGGUCUGAGAGGAUGACCAGCCACACUGGAACUGAGACACGGUCCAGACUCCUACGGGAGGCAGCAGUGGGGAAGAUUGCACAAUGGGCGAAAGCCUGAUGCAGCCAUGCCGCGUGUAUGAAGAAGGCCUUCGGGUUGUAAAGUACUUUCAGCGGGGAGGCGUUACCCGCAGAAGAAGCACCGGCUAACUCCGUGCCAGCAGCCGCGGUAAUUC